rnacentral:rRNA from 1 species
GGCGCAAGGGUGCGUAACACGUGGGCAAUCUGCCAUGAAGUCUGGAAUAACUCGCUGAAAGGCGAGCUAAUACCGGAUGUGACGGUUGGGAGGCAUCUCCUGGUCGUUAAAGCUGGGGACCGUAAGGCCUGGCGCUUCUUGAUGAGCCCGCGGCCUAUCAGCUAGUUGGCGGGGUAACGGCCCACCAAGGCAAAGACGGGUAGCUGGUCUGAGAGGACGACCAGCCACACUGGAACUGAGACACGGUCCAGACACCUACGGGUGGCAGCAGUCGAGAAUUUUUCACAAUGGGCGCAAGCCUGAUGGAGCGACGCCGCGUGGGGGAUGAAUGGCUUCGGCCCGUAAACCCCUGUCAUUUGCGAUCAAACCUUGGUAUUUAAAAGAUGCCGAGCUGAUAGUAGCGAAAGAGGAAGGGACGGCUAACUCUGUGCCAGCAGCCGCGGUAAUACAGAGGUCCCAAGCGUUGUUCGGAUUCACUGGGCGUAAAGGGUGCGUA